GAGGCAGAGGAGAAAGAGGCCUCCUGCCUGCUCUGAGUCCCUCAUUCUCCGAUGCCCAGGGGACAGUUCACAGACACCGUGAGGCCACCUCUUCAUCUCUGCACUGCUCAACAGUUUGCUUCCAGCCUCGCCCCUCAUCACUCUCCCCUUCCCUUAAAGUUGUCUCUUGUCCUUCUGCCUGUCCUUCCUAGAAAUGCUAAACGGUGAAAACAUCAUGGUGAACACAGUUACACCUGCUGGGACAUUUGAUCAGAUUUCACAAACGGCAUCCCAGAGUUGGUACAUCUUGCCGGACAGAGCACGUCCGCCUAGUUCCAUCCUGUGGACUGGGGCACAGAUUCCUUCCACUGCUGUAAAAGGGGGCCAUAUGAGGAAACCAAACCUCAGAGAAGCAAAGUGACCUUCCUGAUAUCACACAGCUGUUAGGAGGCAGAGCUGAGAUUUUAACAUGUGGGAGUGCAAAGCUCACUAUCGUUAUAUUAUAGUCUCAGGUCCUGGCCUAGUUCCCACAAAUCCAGUGAGAUGUUGAGGCACAAGCUCUGCCCCCGGGAAGGUCCCCCACUGAACCGUGGGUCAUACACAAGUCAACAGCACAUGCCCAGUGCUCUCCAGUAAGGAAACGACCCACAGUUCGUGAGAAGACAUCGCUCUGUCUUAGAUCUCACUUUAGUUUCACCCAUCUGAGAUCUCCAGGUGUACCUUCCCUAACCCAAAUGGUGCAGAACGCUCCACCUCUGACAGCAUCGUGGCUGAGACCUGAGCUCGGAUGAACAACCCUCUGCAUUUUGAGGCUGGUGAAGUCGUAGACAGUCUCGGUUCUCAGCUACACUGGCUUCCCCAACCCACCCUGAGGUUUAGCUUCAAGAAGAAUGAGGAACAGGCCCCCUUCUCCCAUCACCGUCCACCUCAAACGAGCAAGAUGAAUGCAGCAGAUGUGAACCUCCUGAGAUGACAGUCCCCAGCCAGCCCCUCAUCUGAGGACAAAGAUCCUGCCACCCUGCUCUGGGUCUUUCACUUCCUCCCUGGGCCAGGUGCUGUCCAGGACUGAGCUGACCAUGUGCAGACACCUUAAGAAUUACCUCUGAAAUUCUAGUUAAGCAUUCUUCCAUACAAACAGUUCAAGACAGGGGCUAGCAUUUGUCGAGUGCCUUUUAGAUGCUGUCCACACACAACACUUUCUCUGAAUAAUUUAUAUGUGGUAUUAGCUACUUUUGUUCCCACCCCCCCACAGCUCUUGGAUAACCAUCAGACAGAUCCUUCCUGAUUCAGAGUGAAUGCCGGACAGUCUAUUUUUCUCACUUGUUUUAUUUGUAGAGAACACUAGCUUUUCCUGAUGACAACCCACAUCAGUCAGUUGUGGGCUCCUGACAUCUUGGGCAGGAGUGUGACUCCAGCCCACAGGCAUCUUCAGUCUGUAGGGGCGUAGCAUCCAUCAAAGCUUCCCACUGCUAGGCUUCAGGUGUUUGGUCACAGCCGUGUGAACGUAACUAACAGCAACAGAGGCACUCCGGAGGUAACUAAGCUUAAGUGAGUCACAAUGGUGGGCCUCCCGAUUCCAUGGCUAGUGACCUCACAACGACACAGUGGAGACUCUCUCUCCCUCACCUCUCCUCACUGUCUCUGGCCAGCACGGAGGUGACCAUCUUCAACUGCAGGGAACAGUCCUCAUGAAAACCCAAACUGGCCAGUACCUGGCUCUUAAAUUUCCACUUUGAGAACUGUGAGAAAAGAAACACCUGUUGUGUUUAAGCCACAUGGUCAGGCUUCUCUGUGGUGUGGGGCUCUCCGCCUCACGCCUGCCAUACACAACAAUAAGAAGCUUCUUGCAUAUAUUGUUUGGAAGGGAUAGAAAACAGGUGGACCUGGGUUAGAAUUCUGUUUCUGCCUCUGCUUGACUGUGCGACCUUGGGCCAGCUCCUUCACCUCUGUGAGUCUCUACAUUCUCAUCUGCCCCAUGGAAGUAAUGGUUGCCUACUUACCAGCUUGGAUGCAGUGAGAACUAAAGGAGGUAGCAUUGUCCGCCAUAACCUAACCACGUCAUCUCCCACUGAAAAAAUCCAUAGCAGAUGAAUGGAUGAAGAAAAUAUGGUGUGUAUAUACAUACUUAUGGGUUGGGAAAAUUAAUACUGUGAAAAUGGCUAUCUUAACAAAAGAGACAUGCAGUCAAUACAAUCCCCAUAAAAAUUAUAACAUCAUUCUUUACAGAAGCAGAAAAAAAAUUUUUUAAUUCAUUUGGAAACACAAGACCUUGGAUAGUUCAGUCUUAAGGGAAAAAAAUGCUACUACACCCCGUUGGAGGUUAUAUUACAUGGCCACAGGGUAAGCAACAGCAUUGUGCCGGCGCAAAGGCAGAAGCAGAGAUCAGUUAAUAAGACAGAAUGUCCAGAUGAAAACCAUGCACAGCUGCAGCCUGCUGAUUUUUGAUAAAGACACACACACACAAAAAAACCACACACUGGAGAAAGGGGGUUAUUACCUACAAAAUGCUCGAAGUGCUCAGUGCAGGUUUAUUUGUCUCAAUUUUACAAGAGUCACUUAAAGAGCAGUUGCUACCGCCAGGCUCUCUGUAGGAUGCUGGGAGGUAUCCAAGGACCAGACAGAGCCCCUGGUCUAACCAGAUCAAAGUGGGUCCACCGAGAAACACACACACACACACACACACACACACACACACACACACACACACACACAGGCAUUGUGGUUGUCCUAUGAAGAAGAGGAGACCAUUGAGUACGGGCUGGGGGAGACAGACACUAAUGAAGUACACCCACUCCACUGGCCUGGGUAGAGCUUGCCCUGGCAUUAAGAGGGACAAGUGAAUGGAGAAUCAAGGUAAGGACAUAUAAGCACAAAGCAGGUGAGGGUGCAGAUGUCUCAAACACUGACUAUGGGGUGCUGCCCUCUGCUGCCCUCAGGUCAGAUGAGGAAGAGCCUUGUCUGUACACGCUGAACACUAUAAACCUUCAGUUUUUCAUGCUUGUCUCAGCCCCAAGAGGUGCUAUAUGAACUGCCAUUUUUUAAAAUGUUGGAACAGUCGAGUAUAAAAUCUAGGAAACAUGAGGGAAGACAUAUGUUAUAUUGAUUUGCUACUACGAUUAUAGUCGCAAGCAUUUUCCUGCCGAUGACAUAACUUCGUUCAACAAAUGAGCUAACAGAUUAUCCUCGAAAGAUAAAGUACAAAUGUGCAGCAAACAUUUGAUAAAUCUUCGGCUUCAUUAACCAGCAGUGGCGUGAAGAUCAAAACUUCAGUGAAAGUCCAUCUUACCCCAGUCAGGAUGCUGGUCACUAAGAAAAUAAGGAACAACAAAUGUUGGUGUGGUUACAAUGUGAACGAAAGGGGAGGUUAAUCAGUCUAGCACUUACGGAAAAGGUAUUGCAGUUUCUCAGAAAAUGGACAGACCUGCCACGUGACCCACGUAUAUCAUGCCUAGGUGUUUACCCAAUGACUCCAACUCAACACAGCACAGAGACGCAUUACCACCAAUGCGGCCCACAGUGCUCUGCACUGUAGCUAAGUCAUGGAACCAGCCUGGGCUUCCAGGAGUGGAAGGAUGGAUAAAGGAAAUGUGACAUGGAUGAAAUGUGCAAGAGAUAUGGCAGCACAUACCUUUAAUCCCAGCACCCAGGAGGCAGAGCCACGGGCAAGUGGAUCUCUGUGAGUUCAAGGACAACACAAUAAAAUACUCUAUUUAAUCUAGCCAUUUUAAAAUUCACUGAUCUCUAGACACCUUUCCCUCAGAAACACUCCUGACCACUGCAAAGAAUGCAGAUGUACAGGCAGAGCCGUAAUCAUACGGACUACACCAGAAAUUUGAAGGACGCAGUUUAAAAUACUCAUAUAAAUGUAUUUAAAAGCAGUAGGAGACCCAUGCAAUGCUAACAUAAGACAUAUUUUUUUAUGAAAAUAGUAUCUCCUCAAAUCAAAAUAAAAGUGAAGGAGAGCGUU